rnacentral:rRNA from 1 species
UGGGGAAUAUUGGACAAUGGGGGCAACCCUGAUCCAGCAAUGCCGCGUGUGUGAAGAAGGCCUGCGGGUUGUAAAGCACUUUCAGUAGAGAAGAAAAGCCUAAGGUUAAUAACCUUGAGUCUUGACGUAACCUACAGAAGAAGCACCGGCUAACUCCGUGCCAGCAGCCGCGGUAAUACGGAGGGUGCAAGCGUUAAUCGGAAUUACUGGGCGUAAAGCGCACGUAGGUGGUUUGGUAAGUCGGAUGUGAAAGCCCUGGGCUUAACCUGGGAAUUGCAUUCGAUACUGCUUGACUAGAGUAUGGUAGAGGGAAGUGGAAUUUCCGGUGUGGCGGUGAAAUGCGUAGAUAUCGGAAGGAACACCAGUGGCGAAGGCGACUUCCUGGGCCAAUACUGACACUGAGGUGCGGAAGCGUGGGUAGCGAAACAGGAUUAGAUACCCUGGUAGUCCACGCCGUAAACGAUGAGAACUAGAUGUUGGGAGGGUUGCCUCCCGGUGUCGCAGCUAACG